rnacentral:rRNA from 1 species
AACGAACGCUGGCGGCAGGCUUAACACAUGCAAGUCGAGCGCCCCGCAAGGGGAGCGGCAGACGGGUGAGUAACGCGUGGGAAUCUACCCAUCUCUACGGAAUAACGCAUGGAAACGUGUGCUAAUACCGUAUACGUCCUUCGGGAGAAAGAUUUAUCGGAGAUGGAUGAGACCGCGUUGGAUUAGCUAGUUGGUGGGGUAAAGGCCUACCAAGGCGACGAUCCAUAGCUGGUCUGAGAGGAUGAUCAGCCACACUGGGACUGAGACACGGCCCAGACUCCUACGGGAGGCAGCAGUGGGGAAUAUUGGACAAUGGGCGCAAGCCUGAUCCAGCCAUGCCGCGUGAGUGAUGAAGGCCCUAGGGUUGUAAAGCUCCUUCACCGGUGAAGAUAAUGACGGUAACCGGAGAAGAAGGCCCGGCUAACUUCGUGCCAGCCGCCGCAGUAAAAC